GAUGAACGCUGGCGGCGUGCCUAAUACAUGCAAGUCGAGCGAACAGACGAGGAGCUUGCUCCUCUGACGUUAGCGGCGGACGGGUGAGUAACACGUGGAUAACCUACCUAUAAGACUGGGAUAACUUCGGGAAACCGGAGCUAAUACCGGAUAAUAUAUUGAACCGCAUGGUUCAAUAGUGAAAGACGGUUUUGCUGUCACUUAUAGAUGGAUCCGCGCCGCAUUAGCUAGUUGGUAAGGUAACGGCUUACCAAGGCAACGAUGCGUAGCCGACCUGAGAGGGUGAUCGGCCACACUGGAACUGAGACACGGUCCAGACUCCUACGGGAGGCAGCAGUAGGGAAUCUUCCGCAAUGGGCGAAAGCCUGACCGAGCAACGCCGCGUGAGUGAUGAAGGUCUUCGGAUCGUAAAACUCUGUUAUUAGGGAAGAACAAAUGUGUAAGUAACUAUGCACGUCUUGACGGUACCUAAUCAGAAAGCCACGGCCAACUACGUG
rnacentral:rRNA from 1 species